UUGCGCAAUGGGCGAAAGCCUGACGCAGCAACGCCGCGUGAGUGAUGAAGGCUUUCGGGUCGUAAAGCUCUGUCAAGUGGGAAGAACCUGCAGUAUGCUAAUACCAUAUUGCACUGACGGUACCACUGAAGGAAGCACCGGCUAACUCCGUGCCAGCAGCCGCGGUAAUACGGGGGGUGCAAGCGUUAUUCGGAAUCAUUGGGCGUAAAGAGCACGUAGGCGGCCUGGUAAGUCAGAUGUGAAAGCCCGGGGCUUAACCCCGGAAGUGCAUUUGAUACUGCCAGGCUUGAGUAUGGGAGAGGGAAGUGGAAUUCCUGGUGUAGAGGUGAAAUUCGUAGAUAUCAGGAGGAACACCGGUGGCGAAGGCGACUUCCUGGACCAAUACUGACGCUGAGGUGCGAAGGCGUGGGUAGCAAACAGGAUUAGAUACCCUGGUAGUCCACGCAGUAAACGUUGUUCACUAGGUGUAGCGGGUAUUGACCCCUGCUGUGCCGCAGUUAACGCAUUAAGUGAAC
rnacentral:rRNA from 1 species